UACGAGCGGCCCAAACGUUAUUCGGAAUUACUGGGCUUAAAGAGUUCGUAGGCGGCAUUGCAAGUAGGGUGUGAAAGCCCUCGGCUCAACCGAGGAAUUGCGCUCUAAACUGCAGUGCUUGAGGAACCUAGAGGUGAGCAGAACAGAUGGUGGAGCGGUGAAAUGCGUUGAUAUCAUCUGGAAUACCGGAGGCGAAGGCGGCUCACUGGGAGUUUUCUGACGCUGAGGAACGAAAGCCAGGGUAGCGAACGGG
rnacentral:rRNA from 1 species